rnacentral:rRNA from 1 species
GACGAACGCUGGCGGCGUGCUUAACACAUGCAAGUCGAACGGUAAGGCCCUUCGGGGUACACGAGUGGCGAACGGGUGAGUAACACGUGGGUGAUCUGCCCUGCACUUUGGGAUAAGCCUGGGAAACUGGGUCUAAUACCGAAUACACCCUGCUGGUCGCAUGGCCUGGUGGGGGAAAGCUUUUGCGGUGUGGGAUGGGCCCGCGGCCUAUCAGCUUGUUGGUGGGGUGAUGGCCUACCAAGGCGACGACGGGUAGCCGGCCUGAGAGGGUGUCCGGCCACACUGGGACUGAGAUACGGCCCAGACUCCUACGGGAGGCAGCAGUGGGGAAUAUUGCACAAUGGGCGCAAGCCUGAUGCAGCGACGCCGCGUGAGGGGUGACGGCCUUCGGGUUGUAAACCUCUUUCAAUAGGGACGAAGCGCAAGUGACGGUACCUAUAGAAGAAGCACCGGCCAACUACGUGCCAGCAGCCGCGGUAAUACGUAGGGUGCGAGCGUUGUCCGGAAUUACUGGGCGUAAAGAGCUCGUAGGUGGUUUGUCGCGUUGUUCGUGAAAACUCACAGCUUAACUGUGGGCGUGCGGGCGAUACGGGCAGACUGGAGUACUGCAGGGGAGACUGGAAUUCCUGGUGUAGCGGUGGAAUGCGCAGAUAUCAGGAGGAACACCGGUGGCGAAGGCGGGUCUCCGGGCAGUAACUGACGCUGAGGAGCGAAAGCGUGGGGAGCGAACAGGAUUAGAUACCCUGGUAGUCCACGCCGUAAACGGUGGGUACUAGGUGUGGGUUUCCUUCCUUGGGAUCCGUGCCGUAGCUAACGCAUUAAGUACCCCGCCUGGGGAGCACGGCCGCAAGGCUAAAACUCAAAGAAAUUGACGGGGGCCCGCACAAGCGGCGGAGCAUGUGGAUUAAUUCGAUGCAACGCGAAGAACCUUACCUGGGUUUGACAUGCACAGGACGCCGGCAGAGAUGUCGGUUCCCUUGUGGCCUGUGUGCAGGUGGUGCAUGGCUGUCGUCAGCACGUGUCGUGAGAUGUUGGGUUAAGUCCCGCAACGAGCGCAACCCUUGUCUCAUGUUGCCAGCACGUUAUGGUGGGGACUCGUGAGAGACUGCCGGGGUCAACUCGGAGGAAGGUGGGGAUGACGUCAAGUCAUCAUGCCCCUUAUGUCCAGGGCUUCACACAUGCUACAAUGGCCGGUACAAAGGGCUGCGAUGCCGUGAGGUGGAGCGAAUCCUUUCAAAGCCGGUCUCAGUUCGGAUCGGGGUCUGCAACUCGACCCCGUGAAGUCGGAGUCGCUAGUAAUCGCAGAUCAGCAACGCUGCGGUGAAUACGUUCCCGGGCCU